rnacentral:rRNA from 1 species
GACGAACGCUGGCGGCGUGCUUAACACAUGCAAGUCGAACGAAGUGGCGAACGGGUGAGUCACGCGUAAUAAACCUGCCCUUCAGAGGGGGACAACAAUUGGACACGACUGCUAAUACCGCAUACUGAAGGAGGGGAUUGCGUCUGAUUAGCUAGUUGGAGGGGUAACGGCCAACCAAGGCGAUGAUCAGUAGCCGGUCUGAGAGGAGUAUCGGCAACAUUGGGACUGAGACACGGCCCAGAAUCCUACGGGAGGCAUCAGUAGGGAAUCUUCGGCAAUGGACGAAAGUCUGACCGAGCAACGCCGCGUGAGUGAAGAAGGUUGUCGGAUCGUAAAACUCUGUUGUUAGAGAAGCGGUAUCUAACCAGAAAGCCACGGCUAACUACGUGCCAGCCGCCGCGGUAAUAC